rnacentral:antisense_RNA from 1 species
CUUCAGCGAGCCCAGCCACAAAGGCUCCUCACGCGUGUGCUCGCGCCCGUAGGUGGCCAGCAGGGCCUGCGCCUC